rfam:Strongylocentrotus purpuratus Contig132638_fixed, whole genome shotgun sequence.
CCAACGGCUCUUUUCAGAGCCACCAAUUUUCCAAGAAAGAAUUGA